rnacentral:snoRNA from 1 species
AUUUGACUGCAUCAAAUCUGUAGCUGCUUCCACAUAGCUACUAUGGUCAAAAAGGAGCCCAGAAUGACAGUUUUUCCUGAUCGUCUCCGUUCUGUUUGCUGUAACUGAUCUGCAACAUUUUGGGAAAAUACAGUU